GACGAACGCUGGCGGCGUGCUUAACACAUGCAAGUCGAACGGAAAGGCCCUGCUUUUGUGGGGUGCUCGAGUGGCGAACGGGUGAGUAACACGUGAGUAACCUGCCCUUGACUUUGGGAUAACUUCAGGAAACUGGGGCUAAUACCGGAUAGGAGCUCCUGCUGCAUGGUGGGGGUUGGAAAGUUUCGGCGGUUGGGGAUGGACUCGCGGCUUAUCAGCUUGUUGGUGGGGGAGUGGCUUACCAAGGCUUUGACGGGUAGCCGGCCUGAGAGGGUGACCGGCCACAUUGGGCCUGAGAUACGGCCCAGACUCCUACGGUAGGCAGCAGUGGGGAAUAUUGCACAAUGGGCGGAAGCCUGAUGCAGCAACGCCGCGUGCGGGAUGACGGCCUUCGGGUUGUAAACCGCUUUCGCCUGUGACGAAGCGUGAGUGACGGUAAUGGGUAAAGAAGCACCGGCUAACUACGUG
rnacentral:rRNA from 1 species